CCUACGGGUGGCUGCAGUAGGGAAUAUUGCUCAAUGGGGGAAACCCUGAAGCAGCAACGCCGCGUGGAGGAUGAAGGUUUUCGGAUUGUAAACUCCUUUUGUUAGAGAAGAUAAUGACGGUAUCUAACGAAUAAGCACCGGCAAACUCCGUGCCAGCAGCCUCGGUAAUACGGAGGGUGUAAGCGUUAAUCGGAAUCACUGGGCGUAAAGAGCGCGGAGGCGGGAUCGCAAGUCAGAUGUGAAAUCCUAUGGCUUAACCAUAGAACUGCAUUUGAAACUGUUAAUCUAGAGUAUGAGAGAGGUAGGUGGAAUUCUUGGUGUAGGGGUAAAAUCCGUAGAGAUCAAGAGGAAUACUCAGUGCGAAGGCGACCUGCUAGAACAUAACUGACGCUGAGGCGCGAAAGCGUGGGGAGCAAACAGGAUUAGAUACCCUUGUAGUC
rnacentral:rRNA from 1 species